rnacentral:rRNA from 1 species
ACUAACGUUGGCGACGUGCCUAACACAUGCAAGUCGAGCGAUCCUUCGGGAUAGCGGCAGACGGCUGAGUAACACGUCCGGAACCUACCCCCGAGUAGGGCAUAGCUCGUCGAAAGACGGGGUAAUACCCUAUAACAUCACUUCAUGAUUUGGAGUGAUCAAAGCAUUUAUGCGCUUGGAGAGGGUCGGGCGGCCUAUCAGCUUGUUGGUGAGGUAAAGGCUCACCAAGGCUAUGACGGGUAGCUGGUCUGAGAGGACGACCAGCCAGACCGGGACUGAGACACGGCCCGGACUCCUACGGGAGGCAGCAGUUGGGAAUCUUGCGCAAUGGGCGAAAGCCUGACGCAGCAACGUCGCGUGUAGGAUGACGUACUUCGGUAUGUAAACUACUUUUAUUUGGGAAUAAUUUUUGAAGGUACCUUAUGAAUAAGCACCGGCUAAUCUCGU